UUGAGCCUCCUGUACCAAAGCCAAUGCCAGACAGGCCCCAAAAUUAAAAAAGAAAGGCGAAGAAUGAGCCUAAGAAUUAGAAGUAUAGCCAGCUCUCUAAGAAAGGAGUUAGGAUGACAUGUUCAAAAUGUCAUCAAACAGUCCAUAAUAAGUCUACAUGCCAAUUAAGGGUAAGUUUUUUUAUUUCUCACAUUUUUAUUCACUUCAAAUACGAACUUAUAUAUAUGUAUUAUUGAAUUUUUUUUAGGGUAGAGUCAGAGAGACUAAAAAUAGACAGCCAACUCAAGCAACUCAAUAAAGCCAACAAAGUCAAGCAACUCAAGAAUUCUCAGCAACUAAUACAAGCAGUGGCAGAGGAAGGGGAAACAUCACUAGAUUUGGCAGGGGCACAUUUCCAAAUGCACCUCCGACAACUAAUACAAGCACAACCAGUUGCAGAGGAAGGGGGAAAAUACUAGAUUUGGAAGGGGUGCAUUUCCAAAUGCACCUCCAGCAACUACUCCUAGAAAACUGACUGUUGGGAUCAAAAGAACAAGGGGAAGAGGUGUUGAAUCUGCACCACCAUCUGAUGGACAGAAGAGGCCAAGAAAUGUUGGUUUUGGAUGUUACACCAAUCCUACAACUGGAAUAACUAUCAUUAAUGUGAGGAUUGGCUAUUCAUAACUUCAAGUUGUUAUUACUACAAUUUUUGUGACUAAUCUAUAUGCUUUUAUGUCAAUUUCAGCUUUGUAGUUCAAGUGAAAGAGUUGUAUCAUAAGGGAUUAAGGUUGUGAAGGAUACCAGUAUAGCCAAUAUUGAUCUUGGUUUUAAACCUCCUGGUCUUAAGUUUAAAGAUAGAAAUACUAUAGCUACUUCCUAGUUACAACACUAAGUGCAAACUGGAGAACCAAAUUGGAUCUUCAUCAACUACCUCUUCAGUUGCAAGUACAGCCCCUCUAGUGUCAUAGUUGUGUUAGGAUUUUGCUAUUUUGAGCUUGAGUUCAUUAUUUUGCUAAGUAUCUAAACUUGGAUUGAUUAUUGUGUCUUUUUUGGGUCUUUAGUUGGCAGUAUGUUGUAAACAUUCUAGUUGUAUGGAAUUGUGAUUGGUAUUGUUAAUACUUUAUUUGUGAAUGCAAUUUAAAUGUUAUUGGUAGCCUCAGUUUAAAGCAUUCGUGUAUGUACUUUUAUGAAGCAUUCAGUUUACAGCAUUCAAUUUAAAACAUUCAAUUGAUAGCAUUGACAGUCUUUUGCAUCAAUUAUGAAUGCAAUUGCAGUUCUUUUUCUGCAUAAGUUGGAUUGUAUGUGCUUGGAAAAUCUGAAGGAUUGUAGGCUGCGAUGGUAGUUUGUUUAGACUUAUCAGUUGAGUUUAUGUUACAACUUCACCAUUUUAGCACUUUGAAUUCCAUAUUUGAACUAAUAUAUAAAAGGCAAUAGUAGAAAAAAUCUUUAUUCCAUUGAAAUAAGACCACAUGCCACAAUUACAUUCAAACAAACUAGACACACCCAAAAUAUAUCAAUCACCAUUACAAACACAAAAUACAUCAGCUAAGACAUAAAAUACACCAGCUACUCCAACCACCAGCAAAACCACAACAACUUCAACGAUCAACGACACAGUAGCAAACCCAAAUAGUUAGCAUUAUUACUACAAUAGAAGCCAAUUUCUUCCUCCAUGUUCUUGCUCGAGCCCUUUCUUCUUCAAAAGCUUUGACCAUAUUCAGUAAACCCUAUAUAACCCUAUUCGCUUGGUUAGAAAAGUCAUCGUCAACCUACCUAAAAUAAUUACAUCCACCUUCGCCUUCAAAAAAAAUUAAUCAAACUAAAAUCGGGAAUAACAUAGUAAAAAUAGUUAAUUAUAACUUACCUUUUCAAUUUGUAUUCAUAGAACCUCCUUCCAGGAUUAGAUGGAGACCAUAAAGUUUUCAAUUGACAUUCAUGAUCAUACCGGCAUGAAUCAACUCUUGGUGGGAGAGACAUAAUUGAGAGGUUAAGCCAAGAUUCGAACACAAGCGGUGAGACUACUUUCAAUUUGGAGAGACGAAAAGAAUUUUUAAACCAGAAAAUCAAGAAAUAGGGUUGGAUUUAAGGGAAGGGUGAAGAACUAGGGCUUGUAAAAGGGGAUAGAGUUUAAUUAUAUAAUAGAAAAAGGGUGUAUUUUACCCUUUGUAUUGUACCGUUGAAAUUUUUUUGUCAACAAAUUUUUACUAUUCACACAUUCAAAAGCAGUGAUAUUCAUGUUAUUUGCCAUGUCAUUAG
rnacentral:lncRNA from 1 species